rnacentral:rRNA from 1 species
AUUGAACGCUAGCGGGAUGCCUUACACAUGCAAGUCGAACGGAGUGGCGAACGGGUGAGUAAUGUAUCGGAACGUGCCCAGUAGCGAGGGAUAACUACGCGAAAGCGUCGCUAAUACCGCAUACAAUUGGAGCGGCCGAUAUCGGAUUAGCUAGUUGGGUGGGUAACGGCGCACACAGGAGACGAUCCGUAGCUGGUUUGAGAGGACGACCAGCAACACUGGGACUGAGACACGGCCCAGACUCCUACGGGAGGCAGCAGUGGGGAAUUUUGGACAAUGGGGGCAACCCUGAUCCAGCCAUCCCGCGUGUGCGAUGAAGGCCUUCGGGUUGUAAAGCACUUUUGGCAGGAAAGCGGUACCUGCAGAAUAAGCACCGGCUAACUACGUGCCAGCAGCCGCGGUAAUUC